rnacentral:rRNA from 1 species
UAGGGAAUCUUCGGCAAUGGGGGGAACCCUGACCGAGCAACGCCGCGUGAGUGAAGAAGGUUUUCGGAGCGUAAAGCUCUGUUGUUAAGGAAGAAAGAGUGUGAGAAUGGAAAGUUCAUGCUGUGACGGUACUUAACCAGAAAGGGACGGCUAACUACGUGCCAGCAGCCGCGGUAAUACGUAGGUCCCGAGCGUUGUCCGGAUUUAUUGGGCGUAAAGCGAGCGCAGGCGGUUAGAAAAGUCUGAAGUGAAAGGCAGUGGCUCAACCUUUGUAGGCUUUGGAAACUGUUUAACUUGAGUGCAUAUGGUGCGAUUGGAAUUCCAUUUUUCACGGUAAAAUGCGUAGAUAUAUGGAGGACCACCGUUGGCGAAAGCGUCUCUCUGGUCUGUAACUGCCGCUGAGGCUCGAAAGCGUGGGGAGCGAACAGG